rnacentral:rRNA from 1 species
AGAUUGAACGCUGGCGGCAUGCCUAACACAUGCAAGUCGAACGGGAGUAGCAAUACUCUAGUGGCGGACGGGUGAGGAAUACGUAGGAAUUUGCCCUUAAGUGGGGGAUAACCCGGGGAAACCCGGAUUAAUACCGCAUGACCUCGAAAGAGCAAAGUGGGGGAUCGCAAGACCUCACGCUUUUGGAGAAGCCUACGUCGGAUUAGCUAGUUGGUGAGGUAAUGGCUCACCAAGGCGACGAUCCGUAACUGGUCUGAGAGGAUGAUCAGUCAACACCGGAACUGAGACACCGGUCCGGACUCCGUACGGGAGGCAGACGAGUGGGGAAUAGUUAGGACAAGUGGGCGCAACGCCUGAUCCGAGCGAAUCGCGCGGUGUGGAGUAAGGACGGUCCGUUAGGGUUA